CGGGUUGUGGCUCAAUGGUAGAGAGUUUGCCUCACAUGCAUGAGGCCCUGGGUUCAAUUCUCAGCACCACAU
rnacentral:tRNA from 1 species